UACAGAGGGGGCGAGCGUUAUUCGGAAUUAUUGGGCGUAAAGGGCGCGUAGGCGGCUUUGCAAGUGACGGGUGAAAGCCCUCGGCUUAACCGAGGAACUGCCUGUCAGACUGUGAGGCUUGAGACCGGGAGAGGUGAGUGGAAUUCCCAGUGUAGCGGUGAAAUGCGUAGAUAUUGGGAGGAACACCAGUGGCGAAGGCGGCUCACUGGACCGGAACUGACGCUGAGGUGCGAAAGCGUGGGGAGCAAACAGGG
rnacentral:rRNA from 1 species